CAACGCCGCGUGAACGGAUGAAGGCCUCUCGGGUCGUAAAGUUCUGUUGUUAGGGAAGAACAAGUGCUAGUUAAAUAAGCUGGCACCUUGACGGUACCUAACCAGAAAGCCACGGCUAACUACGUGCCAGCAGCCGCGGUAAUACGUAGGUGGCAAGCGUUGUCCGGAAUUAUUGGGCGUAAAGCGCGCGCAGGCGGUUUCUUAAGUCUGAUGUGAAAGCCCCCGGCUCAACCGGGGAGGGUCAUUGGAAACUGGGAAAUUUGAGUGCAGAAGAGGAAAGUGGAAUUCCAAGUGUAGCGGUGAAAUGCGUAGAGAUUUGGAGGAACACCAGUGGCGAAGGCGACUUUCUGGUCUGUAACUGACGCUGAGGCGCGAAAGCGUGGGGAGCAAACAGGAUUAGAUACCCUGGUAGUCCACGCUGUAAACGAUGAGUGCUAAGUGUUAGAGGGUUUCCGCCCUUUAGUGCUGAAGUUAACGCAUUAAGCACUCCGCCUGGGGAGUACGGUCGCAAGACUGAAACUCAAAGGAAUUGACGGGGGCCCGCACAAGUGGUGGAGCAUGUGGUUUAAUUCGAAGCAACGCGAAGAACCUUACCAGGUCUUGACAUCCUCUGACAACC
rnacentral:rRNA from 1 species